CUCGGUCCUCGGUGGUGGACUGCGGGCACGCCCCGCUGUCCUCGAUCGAAGACCGGC
rfam:Propionibacterium freudenreichii subsp. shermanii CIRM-BIA1, complete genome